rnacentral:rRNA from 1 species
UUGACGGGGCCCGCACAAGCAGCGGAGCGUGUGGUUUAAUUCGAUGCAACACGAAAAACCUUACCAAGGUUUGACAUGUCGGAAGUAGUGAACCGAAAGGGGAACGACCUGUUGAGUCAGGAGCCGUCACAGGUGCUGCAUGGUUGUCGUCAGCUCGUGUCGUGAGAUGUUGGGUUAAGUCCCGCAACGAGCGCAACCCUCGACCUUAGUUGCCAGCAUUCAGUUGGGCACUCUAAGGUGACUGCCGGCUAAAAGUCGGAGGAAGGUGGGGAUGACGUCAAAUCAUCAUGCCCCUUAUGACCUGGGCUACACACGUGCUACAAUGGGCGGUACAAAGGGUCGCGAACCCGCGAGGGGGAGCCAAUCCCAAAAAGCCGCUCUCAGUUCGGAUUGCAGGCUGCAACUCGCCUGCAUGAAGCCGGAAUCGCUAGUAAUCGCGGAUCAGCAUGCCGCGGUCGAAUACGUUCCCGGGCCUU